GAGUGUACAGCCUCAUUAUCGCCGGCCUGACACCUUACAAACGUAAAUACUCAGUAGCCGAGGUCGUUUUCAUCACAGUUUUAGACUGACACGAGUACGAUAUAUUAACUCUAAAAAAACUACUCAAGAAUUUCAAGAUGGAAACUCCAAAUAUGUGCAAAAGAUGUGACGACAAUGUUUCCAUGAAGCAGGAGGGACUAAUCUGUGACGUCUGUCGAAAUUGGUUCCAUCGCAAAUGUUUUCAAUAAUUCAGAUGUGGCAAUGACGAGGGAACAGUACAGACUAUUGAAAAAACAGGACAUUACGUUUGAGUGGGAGUGCUUUGACUGCUACCAGGCCCAGGACACUCAUCAUGACUCCAACCCAGUUGUUCCAUCCCAGCAGAUGGAACCUAGAAGCCGCUCGGAAACCAGCCCAAUACCUAGGGACAACGUCGCAUUCGCAUUCCCAGAUAUUCCGUCAGUGGUUAAUGAAUCGUCAAUCGAGGCUACUAAUCCGAGAGAAUUGUUAAGCCAAAGAGUCGAAGAAACGUGAUUCACUAUCGAGGACGCCAUCAGCCAAAGAGGUAAAGCGAAGUUUUACGAGAGGGGUGGCUACUCUUACACAGUUUAUCGCACCAACGCGAAUGGAACUGUUGCCUGGAGAUGCUCCGUAAGGCGGAAAGGGAACGUCUGCCCGGCAAAGGUCCGACGAUGAUUUCAUCAGAAAGGAAGCGCCCCAUUCACAUGGCCCUGUGGUCGGCGAGCGACAACAUAGAAAACUGAAAAGAUUGGUGGGGGAACGGGGGUUAGAGAAUCUCUACACAGCUUGUGGGAUUGUGGCUAAAAUGGCACGCAAAGAGAUCGCAGGGGGUAGAUUGCAGAUUGGCGCAGUAAAGGAGCAAUCAUUGAAAAGAUUGUGCAACAUAAAGCGACAAAACAACAGACCGUCAGACCCAAGUACAAUCAAGGAGCCCUUGCAACAUCAACACAUUCCCAAAAUUUUUUUUAAUUGACAAUGCAAUAGUCAACGACGCACGUCACAUAAUCUUUUCAACGAGAAAACAGCUGUCACUUCUGUCGAAAGCAAAAACCUGGUUCAUGGAUGGAACAUUCGAUGUGGUUAAGGGGGCAUUCUACCAAAUUUUCCAUUCAUACCUUCAUCAGGAGCGGUGGGUGCUCUGAGCAGAUUCCGUUGGUCUUUGUCCUCAUGUCCCGGCGCCGGAAAAUACAUUCAUCCGGUCUACAUUCACAUCUUCAAUGUACUCAACAACUUACUCACUCUUUGUUUUCAGGUGCA